AUGGCUUGUGGAUGAGCGGUGGAUUAUUGUUGGGUUGGUGCUCAGUCGUCCUUGUGACUUCGGGGGUAAUUCCAUACCGGGCCCGCUGUACCACAUACCCACAGCAAUGCGCUUCUGUGUUGUGCACUUGUCAGGCGUUAUGCAGUGCUUUAUGAGACGUA
rnacentral:rRNA from 1 species